GGUCAAGUGAAGAAGCGCAUACGGUGGAUGCCUUGGCAGUCAGAGGCGAUGAAAGACGUGGUAGCCUGCGAAAAGCUUCGGGGAGUCGGCAAACAGACUUUGAUCCGGAGAUCUCUGAAUGGGGGAACCCACCUAGGAUAACCUAGGUAUCUUGUACUGAAUCCAUAGGUGCAAGAGGCGAACCAGGGGAACUGAAACAUCUAAGUACCCUGAGGAAAAGAAAUCAACCGAGAUUCCCUUAGUAGUGGCGAGCGAACGGGGAUUAGCCCUUAAGCUUCAUUGAUUUUAGCGGAACGCUCUGGAAAGUGCGGCCAUAGUGGGUGAUAGCCCCGUACGCGAAAGGAUCUUUGAAGUGAAAUCGAGUAGGACGGAGCACGAGAAACUUUGUCUGAACAUGGGGGGACCAUCCUCCAAGGCUAAAUACUACUGACUGACCGAUAGUGAACCAGUACCGUGAGGGAAAGGCGAAAAGAACCCCGGAGAGGGGAGUGAAAUAGAACCUGAAACCGUAUGCGUACAAGCAGUGGGAGCCUACUUGUUAGGUGACUGCGUACCUUUUGUAUAAUGGGUCAGCGACUUAUAUUCAGUGGCAAGCUUAACCGUAUAGGGUAGGCGUAGCGAAAGCGAGUCUUAAUAGGGCGUUUAGUCGCUGGGUAUAGACCCGAAACCGGGCGAUCUAUCCAUGAGCAGGUUGAAGGUUAGGUAACACUGACUGGAGGACCGAACCCACUCCCGUUGAAAAGGUAGGGGAUGACUUGUGGAUCGGAGUGAAAGGCUAAUCAAGCUCGGAGAUAGCUGGUUCUCCUCGAAAGCUAUUUAGGUAGCGCCUCAUGUAUCACUCUGGGGGGUAGAGCACUGUUUCGGCUAGGGGGUCAUCCCGACUUACCAAACCGAUGCAAACUCCGAAUACCCAGAAGUGCCGAGCAUGGGAGACACACGGCGGGUGCUAACGUCCGUCGUGAAAAGGGAAACAACCCAGACCGCCAGCUAAGGUCCCAAAGUUGUGGUUAAGUGGUAAACGAUGUGGGAAGGCUUAGACAGCUAGGAGGUUGGCUUAGAAGCAGCCACCCUUUAAAGAAAGCGUAAUAGCUCACUAGUCGAGUCGGCCUGCGCGGAAGAUGUAACGGGGCUCAAACCACACACCGAAGCUGCGGGUGUCACGUAAGUGACGCGGUAGAGGAGCGUUCUGUAAGCCUGUGAAGGUGAGUUGAGAAGCUUGCUGGAGGUAUCAGAAGUGCGAAUGCUGACAUGAGUAACGACAAUGGGUGUGAAAAACACCCACGCCGAAAGACCAAGGGUUCCUGCGCAACGUUAAUCGACGCAGGGUUAGUCGGUUCCUAAGGCGAGGCUGAAAAGCGUAGUCGAUGGGAAACAGGUUAAUAUUCCUGUACUUCUGGUUACUGCGAUGGAGGGACGGAGAAGGCUAGGCCAGCUUGGCGUUGGUUGUCCAAGUUUAAGGUGGUAGGCUGAAAUCUUAGGUAAAUCCGGGGUUUCAAGGCCGAGAGCUGAUGACGAGUCGUCUUUUAGAUGACGAAGUGGUUGAUGCCAUGCUUCCAAGAAAAGCUUCUAAGCUUCAGGUAACCAGGAACCGUACCCCAAACCGACACAGGUGGUCGGGUAGAGAAUACCAAGGCGCUUGAGAGAACUCGGGUGAAGGAACUAGGCAAAAUGGCACCGUAACUUCGGGAGAAGGUGCGCCGGCUAGGG
rnacentral:rRNA from 1 species